UACGUAGGGUGCGAGCGUUGUCCGGAAUUAUUGGGCGUAAAGAGCUUGUAGGCGGUUUGUCGCGUCUGCCGUGAAAAUCCGGGGCUCAACCCCGGACUUGCGGUGGGUACGGGCAGACUAGAGUGUGGUGGGGGAGACUGGAAUUCCUGGUGUAGCGGUGAAAUGCGCAGAUAUCAGGAGGAACACCGAUGGCGGAGGCAGGUCUCUGGGCCACUACUGACGCUGAGAAGCGAAAGCGUGGGGAGCGAACAGG
rnacentral:rRNA from 1 species